GAUGAACGCUAGCGGCAGGCCUAACACAUGCAAGUCGAGGGGUAACAGAGGGUGCUUGCACCUUGCUGACGACCGGCGCACGGGUGCGUAACGCGUAUGCAACCUACCUUCUACAGGGGGAUAGCCCAGAGAAAUUUGGAAUAAUACCCCAUACGAUCAAUGAUUGGCAUCGAUUAUUGAAGAAAACUCCGGUGGUAGAAGAUGGGCAUGCGUCCUAUUAGUUAGUUGGUGAGGUAACGGCUCACCAAGACGUCGAUAGGUAGGGGCCCUGAGAGGGGGAUCCCCCACACUGGUACUGAGACACGGACCAGACUCCUACGGGAGGCAGCAGUGAGGAAUAUUGGACAAUGGAGGCCACUCUGAUCCAGCCAUGCCGCGUGCAGGAAGACUGCCCUAUGGGUUGUAAACUGCUUUUAUACAGGAAGAAACUGCGCUACGAGUAGCGUACUGACGGUACUGUAAGAAUAAGGAUCGGCUAACUCCGUGCCAGCCGCCGCCGUAACAC
rnacentral:rRNA from 1 species